rnacentral:lncRNA from 1 species
AUCAUUGUGACCUCACAGUUCAGACAGCAUCGGUCCCCUGUGGGGGCCACCUUUCCAGCCCCUCCUCCCAGCAGAGGAUCCCAGUGCCCUCCUGGCCUGAAGGCCCUGCAGGCCUGGCCUUCCCAACUUCCUCUCUGCCCUUGUCCCCCGUCGUCCCUCUAGUUGGCCUGGCCCUCCCAACUUCCUCUCUGCCCUUGUCCCCCGUCGUCCCCCUAGUUGGCCUGGCCCUCCCAACCUCCUCUCUGCCCUUGUCCCCCGUCGUCCCCCUAGCUGGAGGGUGCCCCAGCCUGGCUGACCUCAGUUCUUGUCCCCAGCACACACAACUCUUCCCAGCCUCAAGGCCUUCACCUGGCUGUGCCGCUGCCUGCAAUGUUCCUCCCCAGUCUUGUCAGGGCUGGCUCCUGGGGAGAAGAUCUCUGCUCAGAUGUCACUUCCCCGGAAGGGCCUUCCACGGCCACCCACGUCGUGUCUCCCCACGCCUGCCCCCACACUCGCUAGCCCGCCGUCCCCUCUUCCUGCUUCCGUCCUCCACAGCAGUCAUCACCAUCUGAUAUUCCUGUGUAUGCAUCGGUUUGCCUUUCUGGCUCCUGGUUUUGCUCUGCCUCCCCGCUGGAAGCUACUUGGAAGGCUGAGACAGGAGAAUUUCUUGAAUCCAGAAGGCAGAGGUUGCAGUGAGCCAAGAUCAUGCCAAUGCGCUCCAGCCUGGGCGACAGAGUGAAACUCCAAGUGAAUAAAUGAAUUGUGAGUGCAUGAAAAGCCAGGGGAAGGGGCCUGAGCAUCUCCUUCAGGGGUACCUGCCAAGGCGGAGUCCUGGAACCCCUGCCCAGAACUGCUCGUGGAGGGCAUCUGCGUUAGUCCCCUGCUCCCCAGCGCUGCCAGCCCCUGCCUCAGAUCUCUUACCCAACCGCAUCGCUUCCACUUGGCAAGGUAGAUGGCCCAUGUACUGGGAGUACUACAUGGUAGGAUCCCUGGGAGGGUGCCCCUGGGUGUCCUCCUGGAUCUCUUUCUGGUGUGAAAUAGGGCGCUCUCUUGGCUUCUUCAGUUGAACACCUGUGUGACCAGCUCUGUCAUCAGAUAUGUUUUGUAAUUAAAGGCUACUCUGUCCUAAUAUUUCGGGAAUGUGCUGUGAUUGGCCUUUAGGCAAAGACGUGAGGCCCGGAGUGUACAGCCAAUGGUUGUCACACACAGUAUCCCCCCAAGAGAAACCUGCAGCCCAGCAGCUCGGCUGCAGUACAGAGACCCCCAACCUGGCAGAGGCCUUGACACAAAACAGUUUUGCACCAAAUGAUGCAUACGUGAAGGCACAAUGAAGUGAACAGCAAGCGUUCAAGGAAAAGGCCUUGCAUGG